rfam:Fukomys damarensis contig114792, whole genome shotgun sequence.
CAAAACGUAGCUUAAAAAUAAAGCAUCUAGCUUACACCUAGAAGACUUCAGGUAAUACCUGGCCGCUUUGA